AAAUUGAAGAGUUUGAUCAUGGCUCAGAUUGAACGCUGGCGGCAGGCCUAACACAUGCAAGUCGAACGGUAACAGGAAGCAGCUUGCUGCUUUGCUGACGAGUGGCGGACGGGUGAGUAAUGUCUGGGAAACUGCCUGAUGGAGGGGGAUAACUACUGGAAACGGUGGCUAAUACCGCAUAACGUCGCAAGACCAAAGAGGGGGACCUUCGGGCCUCUUGCCAUCAGAUGUGCCCAGAUGGGAUUAGCUUGUUGGUGAGGUAACGGCUCACCAAGGCGACGAUCCCUAGCUGGUCUGAGAGGAUGACCAGCCACACUGGAACUGAGACACGGUCCAGACUCCUACGGGAGGCAGCAGUGGGGAAUAUUGCA
rnacentral:rRNA from 1 species